rnacentral:lncRNA from 1 species
UUAUAGUUUGGCUCCUUAAAGCAUUUUAUGUUUUGCUCUUUUUAUUAUGAAUUUUUUAAAUCCGUUGUCAUGUCUUUUAAGUUAAACUAAAGUUUACUAAAAGCCAACAUAAAAAUUACAUUUUUGAACAACACUAAAAAGAACAGCUGCAUCCCUACAGCAACUGCUGCAGUAUCACAAUAGGUUACCAAAAGCAGUGAAACAAGUCGGCUUUUCAUUAAAGAUAUUGGUUUUAAAAUUGAACAUCAUUGGCAAAAUGCUUACAAAAUUAGGCUAUGCUUGGCUCCUCGGUGCUGUAAAU